rnacentral:lncRNA from 1 species
GAUGUCAAUAUACUUUAUAUACAGAGAUACAAAAUUGUGGGUACUGAUUCCCCACACCCUUGAUGAUUGUGGGCAGCUCCAUUCCUCCCAGCUGCGAUGGGGACGGCAGAAGACUAGAGA